CUUAUGAGGCGGUAAACGUGUCUUAUCUACAAAAACUAUGCUAAUUUUUAUUUCAAAUUGUGUUUUAGGUCAACAUCUCAAAUACAAACCUUUGCACCCAAUAGUUGAAGCGGUAAUAUACGCCAAUAAUGGAGAAUCUGCAGCACCACUUUGGACCUCGUCAUCAAUUCAUCGAGUGAGGCGGCUGUCCAGUUUUUCAAAGCGGGGAGAUUCGGAAGAAUUUGGGCAUACACAAGUUGACAAAAUUCGCAACUACUUUAUGAGGUUUAGACAAAAGUUUGAUUUGGUUCGAGUUGUUUGGUUUUUGUCUUCUAUACUGCGGACUUCUCUUCAAAGGAUUAGAGAAGGUUUAGAAGCAAAGCAGCUUCACCGACAGGUUCAGGUCUGAAUUGUUUGGUUUUUGUCUUCUAUACUGCGGACUUCUCUUCAAAGGAUUAGAGAAGGUUUAGAAGCAAAGCAGCUUCACCGACAGGUUCAGGUUCGAGUUGUUUGGGUUUUGCCUUUUAUACUGCAGACUUCUCUUCAAAGGAUUAGAGAAGGUUUAGAACCAAAGCAGCUUUACCGACAGGUUCAGGUGCUUAUCGUUUACAAUUUCAAGUAGUCGGGUAUAAUCUCAUUUCUCAUUUUCUUUCCUUCUUUUACUAGAGCAUAUCUUUUGUGAAAUAAGGUUGUGUGGUAAGUAAAACACUACAAUUAAACUCAAAUUCUGGUCAUUGUUGGACAUCGUUAUAGGAUCGACUAGGCUUACAGAUUAGGAUUUCAACCUCGUUUUAAGAAAUUUAACCUUAAAUUUGACCAGAAUCAAGUCGGUAGUUUAACCCUGGAAAUGGAUGGAAAGAGAGA